UACGUAGGGGGCAAGCGUUGUCCGGAAUCAUUGGGCGUAAAGAGCGUGUAGGCGGCCCGGUAAGUCCGCUGUGAAAGUCCAGGGCUCAACCCUGGAAUGCCGGUGGAAACUGUCGGGCUAGAGUCCGGAAGAGGCGAGUGGAAUUCCUGGUGUAGCGGUGAAAUGCGCAGAUAUCAGGAGGAACACCCGUGGCGAAAGCGGCUCUCUGGGACGGUACUGACGCUGAGACGCGAAAGCGUGGGGAGCAAACAGG
rnacentral:rRNA from 1 species